rnacentral:rRNA from 1 species
AUACGUAGGUGGCGAGCGUUGUCCGGAUUUACUGGGUGUAAAGGGCGAGUAGGCGGGCUUGCAAGUCAGAUGUGAAAUACCGAGGCUCAACUUCGGGGCUGCAUUUGAAACUGCGAGUCUUGAGUGAUGGAGAGGCAGGGGGAAUUUCCAGUGUAGCGGUAAAAUGCAUAGAUAUUGGGAAGAACACCAGUGGCGAAGGCGGCCUGCUGGACAAUAACUGACGCUGAGGAGCGAAAGUGUGGGGAGCAAACAGGAUUAGAUACCCUGGUAGUCCACACUGUAAACGAUGAAUGCUAGGUGUAGGGGGUAUCGACCCCUUCUGUGCCGCAGUCAACACAAUAAGCAUUCCGCCUGGGGAGUACGGCCGCAAGGUUGAAACUCAAAUGAAUUGACGGGG